UCGAGAAUCUUCGGCAAUGGGCGAAAGCCCGACCGAGCGAUGCCGCGUGCGGGAUGAAGGCCUUCGGGUUGUAAACCGCUGUCGUAGGGGAGAAAGGGUCGUUGAAGAAACGACUUUGAUCUAUCCUAGGAGGAAGUCCGGGCUAAGUUCGUGCCAGCAGCCGCGGUAACACGAACCGGACAAACGUUAUUCGGAAUUACUGGGCUUAAAGGGUGCGUAGGCGGUGCGGUAAGUGCGGUGUGAAAUCCCACGGCUCAACCGUGGAAUUGCGCUGCAUACUGCCGUGCUAGAGGGAGACAGGGGUAAGCGGAACUGAUGGUGGAGCGGUGAAAUGCGUUGAUAUCAUCAGGAACACCGGUGGCGAAAGCGGCUUACUGGGUCUCUUCUGACGCUGAGGCACGAAAGCUAGGGUAGCGAACGGGAUUAGAUACCCUCGUAGUCCCUGAGCGGGCUGGCAAGGCGCAU
rnacentral:rRNA from 1 species